rnacentral:misc_RNA from 1 species
AACAUCGCGCACCUGCGGGAACCUGCGGAGGGAUCAUUAACACAGUAAAGGUCUGGGUCGGUGUCUCGAGGGUGCCCGUGCGCUUGGAACCCAAGUGCUUCAGGCCUCACCCAAACGGAGCCGAUCCAGACUGAUGGAUUAACAUCCAUUACCCCUGCGAACCUCGUUAAAGUCUUUAUACCGUGAACUUACUCACACUAACUGUUGUUUCUCUGUCAUUUUGUCGACUGAAACGUGUAU